UACGUAGGGGGCUAGCGUUGUCCGGAAUCAUUGGGCGUAAAGCGCGUGUAGGCGGCCCGGUAAGUCCGCUGUGAAAGUCGGGGGGCUCAACCCUCGGAUGCCGGUGGAUACUGUCGGGCUUGAGUACGGAAGAGGCGAGUGGAAUUCCUGGUGUAGCGGUGAAAUGCGCAGAUAUCAGGAGGAACACCAAUGGCGAAGGCAGCUCGCUGGAACGGUACUGACGCUGAGGCGCGAAAGCGUGGGGAGCAAACAGG
rnacentral:rRNA from 1 species